CGUCACUCGGUGUUCUCACCGAAAGCACGUAAUCGCCGGUGUAACUCAUGUUGGCUGGGGGGCCUCCCGGCGCGCGCGGAGAGGCUGGGGUGCGCCCCCAUGCAGCAUGCUUGUGCUCAAUUGCAGGGUCCUCGUUCUCGAGUGUGCAGAGGGCGGUGAGAGCUCAACUCUCGUCCCCACCUCCCACCCGCAGCUCCCCGGGAGGUCCAACAGCCGAGCUUAGCCCACCGGGCUCUGGGAAAGACCCGACUGAGGCUAAAGCCGCCCCGGAAGGCCAAGUCCGAGUUCCAUUUCUUGAAGAGGCCGGCGCGCGUAAGGCUGUGACAUUGGCCCUGGCGACUGGCUUCCCAGGAGCUGUUCUUUCUCAGGAGCUCCACAGCGCGGGCCAUCUCCAGAAAACUGUCUUCAGAGUGUAUUUCCUUUUAUCGUCAACCCAGAGCCCCACCGCGGCUAAUGCAAGAGGCCAAAAAAUGUUUGGAGGAAGAAAAACAAAGGCAG
ensembl:lncRNA HOXA11-AS HOXA11 antisense RNA